UCAAAAAUGUCAAAAAAUUGACAAAGCAGAGGGACAUUUAUAGGAGCAAAAACAAACAAAACCAGGAAAAAAGAAGGCUUCACUGCAGGCAAUGAACUUUCGAUUUCCUGGUCCAUCUAAACAUAAUCCCAUUCCUUUUGAAACAUACAUCAUACAAACAGUAGCCUGUGGGUGGCUUGCAUGUUGAUGUAAUCCAUUAGUAAUUAAUCACAGCUUCAUAAGCA